rnacentral:lncRNA from 1 species
GUGAUAUUGCGGCACCCUGGCCAAGAUUUACAGUAAAUAGGAAUACUUAAAAAAAAAAGGACAUUUUGUAUAAAUGAAUAAACCUAGUUUUACAGCUAGCUGCAUAUUUCAUUUGUAUGCAAGUUGCAUUAAAUCUCAUUAAACUGAAUAAAACUAAAAGACACAAUAGGUAAAAGUCAGUGACAAUAAAAGGAAAAGAGCAGUCAACAUAGUGUAACAAUUCGACAUAGUAUAUAAAAAUAUAAAUAACUACGUAGGACAACAGGGUAAUUUAAUAGUCUAACAACCCCUGAUAACAUACAAAGAGAGAAAAAAAACAUACUAGGAAACAUAUUCAAAAAAUCAUAACACUAUAACUAACUGGUGGGAUGUAUAAAUACCGAGCUGCGUCAAAGAGUAUUCAUCAAAAUACACAUAGAAAGAAACAAAGGUGAAGGUAAACCGCAAACAUAUAAUUAAACUCAAAACAUUAAAGAGUAUGGAAAAGCCUUGGUCUGACAAGCGAAAAGCGUCGAUAAGACGCACAUCAGUAAAUAAAAGUUCAAACCAUAACCAGGAUGGAGUACCACAAACCCCAC